rnacentral:lncRNA from 1 species
CAGAAACAGAAUUAUAUAAAAAUGGCAUAAUUCUGAAGCAUAUUUUGAUUUAUUAAACACUUUUGCAGCUACUCUCUGAUUUUAUUUCCUCAACAAGUGGUUUCAGGCAAAGGACAAGAUGGAAGCAUGCUACAUUGCUGCUUUCCAAGAAUAUUUCAUUACUUGGGGAAACACAAAAAAGCAGCACCCAGAAUUAACUACAGAGAGUCAUGCCAGUGAGGGUGUACAGCAGAUUCUGUCCUAUGGGCAGUGGGAGUGGGGUCCUAUGGCAGUGAGAUUCCCAGUUAUUAAGGCAGGAAACCUGCCAUAGGGAAAAGUGCCUCCUGCUUGAGAAACUUUGACAUUCAUUUGCUUAUACUUUUCAUCAGUCUUCUUCCGAA